CUGCCUUUAAGGAGCUCACAGACUAAUAGGGGAAAUAGACCUAUAAACGAAUAAUUACAACAUAGUGCAAUAAUAUGGGUACAACAAUGACAGAAGUAUAAGAGGGUGAGUGAUCUGUUCUGCUUGGAGUUGUGAGGGGCCUUGGUUUAGACAGGCAUCCAAAGGAGGUGAUGAUGCAGUCAGUAUGAGAUUUCCAGGAG
rnacentral:lncRNA from 1 species